rnacentral:rRNA from 1 species
AGUGAACGCUGGCGGUAGGCCUAACACAUGCAAGUCGAACGGCAGCACAGUAAGAGCUUGCUCUUACGGGUGGCGAGUGGCGGACGGGUGAGGAAUACAUCGGAAUCUACUUUUUCGUGGGGGAUAACGUAGGGAAACUUACGCUAAUACCGCAAACGACCUACGGGUGAAAGCAGGGGAUCUUCGGACCUUGCGCGAUUGAAUGAGCCGAUGUCGGAUUAGCUAGUUGGCGGGGUAAAGGCCCACCAAGGCGACGAUCCGUAGCUGGUCUGAGAGGAUGAUCAGCCACACUGGAACUGAGACACGGUCCAGACUCCUACGGGAGGCAGCAGUGGGGAAUAUUGGACAAUGGGCGCGAGCCUGAUCCAGCCAUACCGCGUGGGUGAAGAAGACCUUCGGGUUGUAAAGCCCUUUUGUUGGGAAAGAAAAGCAGCAGGUUAAUACCCCGCUGUUCUGACGGUACCCAAAGAAUAAGCACCGGCUAACUUCGUG